UACGUAGGGGGCAAGCGUUAUCCGGAUUUACUGGGUGUAAAGGGAGCGUAGACGGAUGUGCAAGUCUGAUGUGAAAGGCGGGGGCUCAACCCCUGGACUGCAUUGGAAACUGUAAAUCUUGAGUGCCGGAGAGGUAAGCGGAAUUCCUAGUGUAGCGGUGAAAUGCGUAGAUAUUAGGAGGAACACCAGUGGCGAAGGCGGCCUGCUGGGCUUUUACUGACGCUGAGGCUCGAAAGUGUGGGGAGCAAACAGG
rnacentral:rRNA from 1 species